GACGAACGUUGGCGGCGUGCCUAAUACAUGCAAGUAGAACGCUGAAGGAGGAGCUUGCUCUUCUGGAUGAGUUGCGAACGGGUGAGUAACGCGUAGGUAACCUGCCUGGUAGCGGGGGAUAACUAUUGGAAACGAUAGCUAAUACCGCAUAAGAGUAGAUGUUGCAUGACAUUUGCUUAAAAGGUGCAAUUGCAUCACUACCAGAUGGACCUGCGUUGUAUUAGCUAGUUGGUGGGGUAACGGCUCACCAAGGCGACGAUACAUAGCCGACCUGAGAGGGUGAUCGGCCACACUGGGACUGAGACACGGCCCAGACUCCUACGGGAGGCAGCAGUAGGGAAUCUUCGGCAAUGGACGGAAGUCUGACCGAGCAACGCCGCGUGAGUGAAGAAGGUUUUCGGAUCGUAAAGCUCUGUUGUAAGAGAAGAACGAUGUGUGAGAG
rnacentral:rRNA from 1 species